rnacentral:tmRNA from 1 species
GGGGGUGCACUGGUUUCGACGGGAGUUUUCGAGGAUACGGUAAGCGAGCCGCGGCCCCUGUACCGCGUAAAAACGGGGACAAAAAAUAACUGACAAUACCGAAUUGUCUUUCGCGGCCUAAGGCCGUGCGUCGGCCCUCAUUGCCCACAGGUGAGGAUCCCGGCGUCAGCUAUGUGGGGAACGAGCACACCAAAGCUUUGAGGCGUUGCCCGUAACAUGAAGCUACCGUAGUCGUAAGCCUGCUGCGAGGCGUGCGGCGAGGGGAAUCCCAAAAUCGUAGAUGCGCUCGGAGAAAACUGUAUAAGCGUGCUUUCGGACGGGGGUUCGAUUCCCCCCACCUCCACCA